rnacentral:tRNA from 1 species
AGUCCUCUAGCUCAACGGUGGAGCAACGCGCUCUGAACGCGGAGAAUUCUGGUUCGAAUCCAGAGGGGACUGCCA